CAGUAGCCGCGGGAAUACGUAGGUGGCAAGCGUUGUCCGGAAUUAUUGGGCGUAAAGGGCUCGCAGGCGGUUUCUUAAGUCUGAUGUGAAAGCCCCCGGCUAAACCGGGGAGGGUCAUUGGAAACUGGGAAACUUGAGUGCAGAAGAGGAGAGUGGAAUUCCACGUGUAGCGGUGAAAUGCGUAGAGAUGUGGAGGAACACCAGUGGCGAAGGCGACUCUCUGGUCUGUAACUGACGCUGAGGAGCGAAAGCGUGGGGAGCGAACAGGAUUAGAGACCCCCGUAGUCCCUGUCUCUUAUAC
rnacentral:rRNA from 1 species